ACGCACACACGCACGCACGCACACACACUCACUCUCGCACACACAGUAAGGAGAAUUGAACGAAUACUUUUUUCGUUUUGAAGUAUGAAUCUAAAUCAGUCAAAUCAGACUCAUCCCUUUAAUUAAAAUGAGGGAGGUCAUUUAAGAUCAAACACAGAGCUGAAAUAGCCUCUCACUGUUACCAAUGCAACCAGUGGGCGCCGAACCUGCGUUGUAAUUAGCUCGUUAAUUGGUUGCAUCUGGUGCGUUUCACUUAAGAGUGAACCAGACAGUACGUUCGUGUCCUCUACAGUUUGGCAGUGUAGCGUCUCCCAAAAGCGGUUAAAGACUUUUUGAAGUAAAGAGGAGCAUCUCAUGUGAACCUGAUGUCUAUCAUGGAUAUUCAACUGCAGUUCUGUGAGUAUCCCAACUUAACCAUGAAGAUGAACUGCAAACUGUAAGUCAUAAGUUUCUCAUUACUCUUGGGCACAUUGGUGUGUUUUUCCUUCCUGGUGAGUUAACCCGUUACCUGAAGGUUGAUCUGAGUAGGAAGGAUGUUUUAUUGAUUCAUGGGUUACUUAGGUGUUUGGUUUAUGUUGGUUUUAAUGAUUUGUUAAAAUAGUUACAGGUUCUAAGUUAUUGUUGUAAGCUGGAGUAAUGGGUUGAGUUCUGAUAUCUUCAGUCUUCUUUCCAGCUACUCUCCUGAGCUCUGCAUCUUCAUUACAUGAGUGUUGGUUUACUUAUAAGGGUGUGGUCUGAGUGAGCAGAGGUGCAUACUGGGAAACAGAGCUGUCUCAAGUCUACAGGUCUGUAGACACGCCCCCUCAGGGGAAACCAAGUGUUUGAGAAGCUGUCGUGACGUCAGUUACAUGGACUGGAAUGUUCUUUAUGAUGGAGACAGGGAUUCAGAAGGAGAAACACCAGGGGGAGAUGAGGGGGCUCCUCGUCUCAACAACUAAAACGCAACUUCAGUCUGACACAGAGAACCAUGGAACACAUUCAACAUUCAUUUCCAAGAAGGUCUUAUUUGGGGCCAUCCCCAGAUGGAUCCUGCUCCUCAAGAGCCACCCCCCUCCACUGGGUGGUCUUCUGAACAGCUGACUAAAGCUGCAACGUUUGCAUCUGUGAAGGCCCCUCAUUCAGGAAACCACUGGACUACAAAGACAUUACUUCAGAGACGUUGAAUAAACCUGGGACACAUUUUGGAGACAUAAUUUACGUCUCUGGAGACAUUGGUUGUUCUGUUCUGGGUGCCCUGGCAGGAGAGCUG